UACGGAGGGUGCAAGCGUUAUCCGGAUUCACUGGGUUUAAAGGGUGCGUAGGUGGGCUUGUAAGUCAGUGGUGAAAUCUCCGUGCUUAACAUGGAAACUUCCAUUGAUACUAUAGGUCUUGAAUUUUCUGGAGGUCAGCGGAAUAUGUCAUGUAGCGGUGAAAUGCUUAGAUAUGACAUAGAACACCGAUUGCGAAGGCAGCUGACUACGGGAAUAUUGACACUGAGGCACGAAAGCGUGGGGAUCAAACA
rnacentral:rRNA from 1 species